rnacentral:lncRNA from 1 species
UGAAGUUUUGGUCAGUAACCAGUGGAGUUUGAGAAGCUCUGAGGGUAAUAAAUCACUUCCUGUUUUCCUGCCAUGUCCCUUGCCACCCUAAUGCAUGGAACUGGGUAUGCCUCAGAGCUAGUAGCUAGUGCUAUUGGAUGUUGCUGUGCCACCCUAAAUUUCUCACUUUGGAAAGUGCUUGGGUCCUGAGCUGUAUUUAACAGCUGAGUUGGAGGGGAAGCUAGGGGUCAUUGAUCUCAGGGUCUCAAUGGAGGUAUCAAAAUAUUUACUAUGAAAAGGCAAGGGAAGUGCAGUAGACCUCUGAGAGUUGUAUGGUAGGAAUGUAGUCCUGGCCCCGCUGCUGACUUUGUGCUUGACAUUUUACAGGCCUGACUCCCUGUUUGCGCUGUCCUUUGUGUGUACACUUCUGAGGAAAAGGGUUCUUGUACACUCUCUAUGGAGCACCCAGACCAAAGGGGUCCUGAUUCUAGUGUUGGUCAAGCAAGAAUCUGCUGAUAUUUCAUUGUCUGUAAUGGCUACCUGGGUGAUCUUUCAUACUAAACAUCUCAGUUAACCUCCUCCAUAGGUAAGGAUGUGCUUGUAGGCUCCUAUUUCAUAAUAUAUAUAUAUAUAUUCAUAUAUAUAUGAAUAUGCAUUCCCUUUGCUACUCUGUGCAAGAUGUAGAAAUAGGAAAUCAAUCAUGGGGAAGGAGCUGAGUGAUUUUUGAAGGUCUGCACAGUGAUCCUUUGCACUCUUAUGGCUGUGUAGAAAUGACAGGAAAAUAU